CCUGUUGAUCCUGCAUGGGGGCAACCCUGAUCCAGCCUGCCGCGUGAGUGAUGAAGGCCUUAGGGUUGUAAAGCUCUUUCAGCUGGGAAGAUAAUCGACGGUACCAGCAGAAGAAGCCCCGGCUAACUCCGUGCCA
rnacentral:rRNA from 1 species